GAUGAACGCUGGCGGCGUGCCUAAUACAUGCAAGUCGAGCGAACAGACGAGGAGCUUGCUCCUCUGACGUUAGCGGCGGACGGGUGAGUAACACGUGGAUAACCUACCUAUAAGACUGGGAUAACUUCGGGAAACCGGAGCUAAUACCGGAUAAUAUAUUGAACCGCAUGGUUCAAUAGUGAAAGACGGUUUUGCUGUCACUUAUAGAUGGAUCCGCGCCGCAUUAGCUAGUUGGUAAGGUAACGGCUUACCAAGGCAAUGAUGCGUAGCCGACCUGAGAGGGUGAUCGGCCACACUGGAACUGAGACACGGUCCAGACUCCUACGGGAGGCAGCAGAAGGGAAUCUUCCGCAAUGGGCGUAAGCCUGACGGAGCAACGCCGCGUGAGUGAUGAAGGUCUUCGGAUCGUAAAACUCUGUUAUUAGGGAAGAACAAAUGUGUAAGUAACUAUGCACGUCUUGACGGUACCUAAUCAGAAAGCCACGGCUAACUACGUG
rnacentral:rRNA from 1 species